AGCGAACGCUGGCGGCAGGCCUAACACAUGCAAGUCGAACGAACCUUUCGGGGUUAGUGGCGGACGGGUGAGUAACACGUGGGAACGUGCCUUUAUGUUCGGAAUAACUCAGGGAAACUUGUGCUAAUACCGAAUGUGCCCUUCGGGGGAAAGAUUUAUCGCCUUUAGAGCGGCCCGCGUCUGAUUAGCUAGUUGGUUGAGGUAAUGGCUCACCAAGGCGACGAUCAGUAGCUGGUCUGAGAGGAUGAUCAGCCACAUUGGGACUGAGACACGGCCCAAACUCCUACGGGAGGCAGCAGUGGGGAAUCUUGCGCAAUGGGCGAAAGCCUGACGCAGCCAUGCCGCGUGAAUGAUGAAGGUCUUAGGAUUGUAAAAUUCUUUCACCGGGGACGAUAAUGACGGUACCCGGAGAAGAAGCCCCGGCUAACUUCGUG
rnacentral:rRNA from 1 species